AUCGAUUCCCUGAGUAGCGGCGAGCGAAACGGGAAGAGCCCAAACCAACGAGCUUGCUUGUUGGGGUUGUAGGACACUCUAUACGGAGUUACAAAGGAAUAGAUUAGACGAAGCAUCUGGAAAGAUGUAUCAAAGAAGGUAAUAAUCCUGUAGUCGAAAAUCUGUUCUCUCUUGAGUGGAUCCUGAGUACGACGGAACACGAGAAAUUCCGUCGGAAUCUGGGAGGACCAUCUCCCAAGGCUAAAUACUCUCUAGUGACCGAUAGUGAACCAGUACCGUGAGGGAAAGGUGAAAAGUACCCCGGAAGGGGAGUGAAAGAGAACUUGAAACCGUGUGCUUACAAGUAG
rnacentral:rRNA from 1 species